UACGUAGGGUGCAAGCGUUGUCCGGAAUUAUUGGGCGUAAAGAGUUCGUAGGCGGUUUGUCGCGUCCGUUGUGAAAGCUUGGGGGCUCAACCCCCAAGUCUGCAGUGGAUACGGGGCAGACUAGAGUCAGGGUAGGGGGAGAACGGAAUUCCUGGUGUAGGCGGUGGAAAUGCGGCAGAGUAUCAGGGAGGGAACACCCGAUGGGCGAAAGGGCAGGGUCCUCUGGGCCCACUACUGACGCUGAGAAGCGGAAAGCAUGGGAGCGAACAGGGAUUAG
rnacentral:rRNA from 1 species